AUGAAAACCCUCAAGAAGACUAUCACACUUGGGUUGAGCCUUCAGAUACCAUAGAAAAUGUAAAAGCCAAGGUCCAAGAUAAAGAAGGAAUUCCUCCUGAUCAGCCAAGAUUAAAUUUUGCUGGCAGACCUCUAGAAGAUGGGCGUACUUUGUCUGACUACAAGACUCAAAAGGAGUCCACACUUCACCUUGUUUUGAGACUCAUGUUGGUUCUAAGGAAAGGAAGAAGUCCUAUACCACUCCUAAGAAAAAUAAGCACAAAAGAAAAAAGGCUAAACUGGUGGUCCUGAAAUACUAUCAGGUAGAUAAGAAUGGCAAAAGUAGGGAUAGUUGCCUUCAUCAGGAGUAUCCUUCAGAUGAAGGCGGUGCUGGAGAUUUUAUGGCCAUUCACUUUAGCAGACAUUAUUGUAGCAAAUAUUGUCUGAUUGUUUCAACAUGCCAGGAGACAAGUAA